rnacentral:rRNA from 1 species
GAUGAACGCUGGCGGCGUGCCUAAUACAUGCAAGUCGAGCGAACGGACGAGAAGCUUGCUUCUCUGAUGUUAGCGGCGGACGUGUGAGUAACACGUGGAUAACCUACCUAUAAGACUGGGAUAACUUCGGGAAACCGGAGCUAAUACCGGAUGAUAUUUUGAACCGCAUGGUUCAAAAGUGAAAGACGGUCUUGCUGUCACUUAUAGAUGGAUCCGCGCUGCAUUAGCUAGUUGGUAAGGUAACGGCUUACCAAGGCAACGAUGCAUAGCCGACCUGAGAGGGUGAUAGGCCACACUGGAACUGAGACACGGUCCAGACUCCUACGGGAGGCAGCAGUAGGGAAUCUUCCGCAAUGGGCGAAAGCCUGACGGAGCAACGCCGCGUGAGUGAUGAAGGUCUUCGGAUCGUAAAACUCUGUUAUUAGGGAAGAACAUAUGUGUAAGUAACUGUGCACAUCUUGACGGUACCUAAUCAGAAAGCCACGGCUAACUACGUG